rnacentral:rRNA from 1 species
AUUGAACGCUGGCGGCAGGCCUAACACAUGCAAGUCGAACGAGUGGCGGACGGGUGAGUAAUGUCUGGGAAACUGCCCGAUGGCGGGGGAUAACUCCUGGAAACGGUAGCUAAUACCGCAUACCAUCGGAUGUGCCCAGAUGGGUUUAGCGAGUAGGUGGGGUAAAGGCUCACCUAGGGGACUACCCCUUGCUGGUACGUGAGGAUGACCCGGCACGCUGUAACGGAGAAACGACGCAGACUCUUACGGGGGGCAGAAGUGGGGAAUAUUGCAAAAUGGGCGCAAGCCUGAUGCAGCAAUGCGGCGUGAGUGAAAAGGGCCUUCGGGUUGUAAAACACUUUCAGCGGGUAGGCGUUACCCGCAGAAGAAGCACCGGCUAACUCCGUGCCAGCAGCCGCGGUAAUUC